CCUACGGGCGGCUGCAGUGGGGAAUAUUGGACAAUGGCGAAAGCCUGAUCCAGCCAUGCCGCGUGUGUGAAGAAGGCCUUCGGGUUGUAAAGCACUUUCAGUGGGGAAGAAAGCCUUGGGGCUAAUACCCUCGAGGAAGGACAUCACCCACAGAAGAAGCACCGGCUAACUCCGUGCCAGCAGCCGCGGUAAUACGGAGGGUGCGAGCGUUAAUCGGAAUUACUGGGCGUAAAGCGCGCGUAGGCGGUCUGAUAAGCCGGUUGUGAAAGCCCCGGGCUCAACCUGGGAACGGCAUCCGGAACUGUCAGGCUAGAGUGCAGGAGAGGAAGGUAGAAUUCCCGGUGUAGCGGUGAAAUGCGUAGAGAUCGGGAGGAAUACCAGUGGCGAAGGCGGCCUUCUGGACUGACACUGACGCUGAGGUGCGAAAGCGUGGGUAGCAAACAGGAUUAGAUACCCCGGUAGUC
rnacentral:rRNA from 1 species